GACCUGGUGGUGUAUAGCAACACACCUGCUACGCAUAGUAGAUCGAAAAUAUGCAUAAUAUGCAGAAGAUCCUCGUUCGAAUCGGGGUCAGGUCA